rnacentral:rRNA from 1 species
GGGGAAUAUUGCGCAAUGGGGGAAACCCUGACGCAGCAACGCCGCGUGAAGGAAGAAGGCCUUCGGGUCGUAAACUUUUGUCUUAGGGGACGAUAAUGACGGUACCCUAGGAGGAAGCCACGGCUAACUACGUGCCAGCAGCCGCGGUAAUACGUAGGUGGCAAGCGUUGUCCGGAAUUACUGGGUGUAAAGGGCGCGUAGACGGGCAUAUAAGUCAGAUGUGAAAUACCGGGGCUCAACUCCGGGGCUGCAUUUGAAACUAUAUGUCUUGAGUGCAGGAGAGGAAAGCGGAAUUCCUAGUGUAGCGGUAAAAUGCGUAGAUAUUAGGAGGAACACCAGUGGCGAAGGCGGCUUUCUGGACUGUAACUGACGUUGAGGCGCGAAAGCGUGGGUAGCAAAC